AUGCACGCUGGCGGCGUGCCUAAUACAUGCAAGUCGCGCGAACAGACGAGGAGCUUGCUCCUCUGACGUUAGCGGCGGACGGGUGAGUAACACGUGGAUAACCUACCUAUAAGACUGGGAUAACUUCGGGAAACCGGAGCUAAUACCGGAUAAUAUAUUGAACCGCAUGGUUCAAUAGUGAAAGACGGUUUUGCUGUCACUUAUAGAUGGAUCCGCGCCGCAUUAGCUAGUUGGUAAGGUAACGGCUUACCAAGGCAACGAUGCGUAGCCGACCUGAGAGGGUGAUCGGCCACACUGGAACUGAGACACGGUCCAGACUCCUACGGGAGGCAGCAGUAGGGAAUCUUCCGCAAUGGGCGAAAGCCUGACGGAGCAACGCCGCGUGAGUGAUGAAGGUCUUCGGAUCGUAAAACUCUGUUAUUAGGGAAGAACAAAUGUGUAAGUAACUAUGCACGUCUUGACGGUACCUAAUCAGGAAGCCACGGCUAACUACGUG
rnacentral:rRNA from 1 species